UACGGAGGGUGCAAGCGUUAUCCGGAUUCACUGGGUUUAAAGGGUGUGUAGGCGGAUAUUUAAGUCAGUGGUGAAAUCUCCAGGCUCAACCUGGAAACUGCCAUUGAUACUAUUUAUCUUGAAUUCUGUUGAGGUGGGCGGAAUACAUCAUGUAGCGGUGAAAUGCUUAGAUAUGAUGUAGAACACCGAUGCGAAGGCAGCUCACUAAGCAGACAUUGACGCUGAGGCACGAAAGCGUGGGGAUCAAACAGG
rnacentral:rRNA from 1 species